GAGAGAGUACUCUAUUAUCAAUUUAUUCCAUAAAACUACCAGUCUACAAUACAACACUCACAAAGGUCUACAAAGCUAACAAGUACAUAGCCUAGAUCGUUGACCACUGGCACUGGGCUUUUCCAAAUGCGUGGCGGUCCUCGUUUAGAAAGGUGUUGGGCCAGAAAGCCCAAUCUUCUGUAUAUCUGAGACUGAUGUUUGCUACUAAGAGGUCUGUCUCUGACUACUAAAUCGCCUCUUCAAAGAAUUAACUUCAAGGGUCGCAUCAUUACAUUGUCUUCAUGAUCCAAUAUAUGGCAAUGGUAGACGUAACCAGGCUCUGCAGUUGCAUCAAACGCAUAAGAUGCAUUCGAGUGGAUGUAAGCAAAUCUCACUAGAAUCUUUGUCACAUACCCUGGUGUCAUCUUAUACACGUUCUUCCACCCUUUCAAUUGUGCUGGCACCUCUAACUUCUUGCCGCUUGCAUACUUGUUUAUUUUGCAUUUAAUUGCAUCGUUCGAUUUAUUCAUGCAAGCUUUAAACUCCUCUAUAUUGAUCAACUCCGUUUGAUCCAUCACCACGAAUAAUCCCAAAUGAAUAUGCAAUGGAUGAUUAUCCUCCGUUAGAUUGAUCACAUUCCAUACCUCUGUGGUCCCUUCUUUUGGGGUUUCAGUCACUGGUUCUUCGUAAGGUUUGCCAUUGAUAUAAAGAUGAAUUGGCUCAUCAGUGUUGCUUGUGUACUCGUAUAGAGCGAUGUAUCGAGUUUGGGAUGCACUGGAUAAUUCUGGAGAAGGAUAUUUUAUCAACUUUUUUGGCACUCUCCACGUGUCCACCUCCUUAUCCUUCUUGAUGAUGAACUUCAUCACCUUCCCAUUCGCUUCAUUGACUGGGUCCCCGUCUGGAAAGGGAUACUUUGCAUUAUUGGCUAAAAUAACAGUGUCUGACUUUGACUUUGAAAAGUCAAUAACCACAUCAGCAAUUUCAGAUGGAGCUAAGAGGAUUUCAUUUGUCACUACAUGUUCUUCAAGAUAUACAGAGUCAGCUGCCACGUAGAUAAAUCUAAGACCGUUGGUGAAAAAGAAUCUGAAAAAUCUAGCAUUGCUGGCAUUUAUAAUGCGAAAUCUAUAUUUACGACGUCGUACUGUCGCAUGUGGCCAUGCCUUGCCAUUGACAAUAAUUGCGUCCCCAAAGUACUCCGGUUGCCACUGUGGAUGUAUGGAGGGAUUGUUUCCAGUAGAAUUCAUGUAUAUGGAACCAUUGAUGCGAAAGCUCCGAUCAAACACCAUCAAAGUCCGAUCAAACUCAUCGCCGUAAGGUAGACCAAGUGGGCCUUCAACCUUAGGGUGGCGAAUAAUGUAGGCUCCAACCAAGCCAGCCAAUAGGUUGACUCUAGUCAACCCCAUGGCAUGAUCAUGGUACCAUAAGUUUCCAGGUUGUUGAAAGUUGCGGUAAUGAUACGUUUUCUUAGUCCAAGUGGGUCCCUUUUCUGCAAAUCGAUUGGUGAACCAUGACUCUGCAUGUCCAUCGCUCUCGGGUUCACCAAUGACACCAUGGAGGUGCACAACAGUGGGAAUGCCCUUCUUCGUGGAAGGCACGGCAGUUGGGAUUGUUGGAUCCCAUGGAAGUAUAUGCUUUGAAGGGAGGUGAUUUUUCCAUGUCACGUAGGUAUCAACGCCGUAGAUGGCCUCAAUUGUUGGACCGGGGACGGUUGCAUUGUUCUUUGAUACACCGUAGGCAAAUACCGGUGUUGGAGGUAGGUCCCGAUGAAAUUUCCAUUCCUUCUUGAACAUGCCAAUCCUUAGCCGCUUAGGUUUGGGAACACCAUUCUCAACAUCAAAACCAUGGAUUCUGGGCAUAUCUGGAAGCUCGUCAACAAACAUUUCCAACUGGGAUGGACUUAUUAGCCUGUCUUCUGCCCAUGUUGUAGUAAGCACCAGAAACAGAGCUAACCAUGGCACACUAAACACCAGAACCCUAUCCAUGGAAACAAGACACUAGCCACCCAGCAACAGAGAGAGAGAGAGAGAG
rnacentral:misc_RNA from 1 species